rnacentral:rRNA from 1 species
AGGACGAACGCUGGCGGCGUGCUUAACACAUGCAAGUCGAACGGUGAAGCCCUUCGGGGUGGAUCAGUGGCGAACGGGUGAGUAACACGUGAGUAAUCUGCCCUUGACUCUGGGAUAACCUCGGGAAACCGUGGCUAAUACCGGAUAUGACAUUUCACUGCAUGGUGGGGUGUGGAAAGAAUUUUGGUCAAGGAUGAGCUCGCGGCCUAUCAGCUUGUUGGUGGGGUAAUGGCCUACCAAGGCGACGACGGGUAGCCGGCCUGAGAGGGCGACCGGCCACACUGGGACUGAGACACGGCCCAGACUCCUACGGGAGGCAGCAGUGGGGGAAUAUUGCGCAAUGGGCGGAAGCCUGACGCAGCGACGCCGCGUGAGGGAUGAAGGCCUUCGGGUCGUAAACCUCUUUCAGCAGGGAAGAAGCGAAAGUGACGGUACCUGCAGAAGAAGCACCGGCUAACUACGUGCCAGCAGCCGC